AAAAUGCUCGACCUUAACUACCCAGUAAUCAGCUUUGACCCCUGCGUAGAUUCGCUUUGCAAGAUCGGACAUACGAACUUGUUGGACAGAUGAUUGCAUACUCUAUUGUGCACGGUGGACCACUACCCAAUUUCCUCCAUCCACUUCUGUAUGAUGCCAUGGUCCAUGGCAUAGACAGCGU